CGAUCAUCCUACAUCCUAAAUACAACUCUAGAUAUGGAAUGAUAUCAAAUCUAAUAUUAUAUUUGUAUUUCUCUUAAUCUUUAAUGAUGAUUUGAUUAAUAAAAUAUUAGAAAAUUUUUUUAAUUUUUAUUUCACUUUGAUCAAAGGCUUCCUGAAUCAUCAAUCGAUUAGAGCAAGUUGGAUGCGAUCUCCUCUUACCAGGGG
rnacentral:lncRNA from 1 species